rnacentral:tRNA from 1 species
GUCUCUGUAGUUCAACGGAUAGAACGAAAGUUUCCUAAACUUUAGAUUCGGGUUCGAUUCCCGGCGGAGAUACAA